rnacentral:antisense_RNA from 1 species
UUUGUUUGUUUGUUUGUUUGUUUGAGACAGAGUUUUGCUCUUGUUGCCCAGGCUGGAGUGCAAUGGUGCGAUCUCGGUUCACCGCAACUUCCGCCUCCUGGGUUCAAGUGAUUCUCCUGCCCAGCCUCCGGAGUUGCUAGGAUUACAGGCAUGAGUUGCCAUACCCAGCAACUGUUAAGUUUCAAUUGCUAAGAUUUAUAGGAAAAAUAAGCUUCAAAAUAAUGCAAGAGCUUUCAGAUAUUCAUUAUUUUGAAGAUUUCAAUCCUUUUCAAUCACAUUCAUUCCUUUCCUGAAGUAGAAAUUCCUAAUCUUUAUAAUCAGAUAUAAAGUCUGAUAAUGAUAAGCCAUCUAAUGUUCUGAUCAUGCUGCCAAAAUUUGCAAUGUUACAAACUCUGUUGGGGGUUUUCUGGUCUACAGUAUUUUAGGUUCAGAUAAGUCCAUCUUUGUUCCUGACAUUCCCAUGACUCAGAUAGAACAAAGAAA